GGAUUUGUAAGAUUACCAGAAGCCACUGGGCUUUCUGAUCUUCAUUUAAUAGUCAAUAAAAUAAAAUUGAUUUAUGAGAGGGGGAAAUGUAUUAGCUACGCCCCAAAUGUAUAAAUCUAUCUUAUAAUUUAUGUUCAAAUCUUAAAUCUGUCCAUUAACUCUUGGAAAUGAAGGAUUACACAUUUAAAUGCCUUGUCUGUGUCUACAGUUGUGGUCAGAGUUUUACAUCCACUGAUCACAGAUAUGAAUGUCAUUAUAAUUUGGGGCUUUUAAUAAUCUCUUUCGAAUGAUUUCAUUUUCCAGGGUGGAAUUAUUGUACAGCAUAUAUUUUAGUGACUUUAUAAAUUAAGAAUUGGGUGGACAAAUUUGAAUUUAUUUUGGAUUUUCUUUAAUCCACAUAGUGUUAAAAAAUAUACAUACAAAUAUGUACAUACACUCAUUUAAAUCUUAAUAAGUGCUGCUAAAGGUGCUUCAGUGUUGCUUAACUUGACAAGGCCAGGGUUUAUUGCUUUCUCAUUAGUAGUUUCUCUUAAAAAUUAUUUGUUUGACAGCACUCAUUGGAUCGACUAACAAUCAGAACAAUGAAAGCCCAAGACUGUCAGGAUCUAAGAAAUAGAACUGAACAUUUACACAAGUUGGAAAGGUGUCUUCAAACAACUAUAUGUAAAUACAAGUUAUUCACAUGUGUCACCACUGCCAAGGUGUAUACCAGGGGUGGGUGCCUCAAGGGUCAGUGUCCUGCAUGUUUUAGAUGUGUCCUUGAUCCAACACAGCUGAUUUAAAUGACUAAAUGACCUCCUCAAUGUGUCCUGAAGUUCUCCAGAGGCUGGGUGAGAUCUAAAACCUGCAGUACACUCCAGGCCUUGAGGGCCUGGAGUGUACCCCUGGUCUAAACUCUUGCGCUCAGAUGAAAGAAAAUUGGGUAGGAUGUUCAGGGACAAUCUAGGAACCACCAAGGCUCAAGCCUGCUGUGAGAUGGAAACUGCUUUAACAUCAGUGCGACUGUCCACAGUAAAGCCAGUUUUAUAUGGCCAUGAACUGCAAGGGUGCUGACCAAAAAGGAAGUCUCUCUUUCAAAAUUGAGAGGUUCAAACUCAACUGAAAUUUUCAGAUGCCCACAUGAACAAGCAAAAUGCCUUAUGGAGAAAGGUUUUAUGGUCAGACAAGACAAAAAUUAAGCUAUUUAGCCAUAGCGACGAGAUAUGUUUGGAUGAGUAAACGUGAGGCUUUCACACCUAAGACCAGUGUACCAGCUAUCAAGCAUGGUGGUGGUAGCAUCACGCUCUGGGCUGUUUUGCUGUAAAGGUACAUCGCACAAAGUGGAGAGAAUAAUGACAAGCAGGAUUAACUUAAAAUUUAUCAACGUCACCUCAAAUUAACAGCUAGAUAGUUGAAACUUGAGACCAAACACAAAUCAAAACUGAUUUUGGCAAGCAUGCUAACUUUAAUCUUCUGGAAUGGCCUUCCCAAAGCUCCGACCUUGUGGUCUACACUUAAAAGCCAGAUCUGUUGAAGAAAACCAACGAAUUUAAAAGACCACUACCAAUUCUGCCAAGACAUUUAGUCAAAUAUGCAGCUAGGAUUAUAUAAGAAACUGGUAGAGGGCUACCAAAAGUGUCUGGUCACGGUGCAGUUUGCAGACAUUUAGCCAGAUCCUAGUGGGGUGUAUGUAUACUUUUGACCCUGUGGAUUAGAGAAAAUCCAAAGGAAAUUCAAACUUGUUCACCCAAUUAUUGUUUUUUAAGUCAAUAAAGACAUAUGCUAUACAACCACUACACCUUAGAAAAUUAACUGUUCAAAUAAACAUUUAAAAGCUCAAAUACAAGGACAUUCAUGCCCAUUAUGAGUGUAUUGACCCUUCUGACCACAUCUGUACAUCAACUUCAUUUUGAGUUUAAAAUAUGUCGAAAUGAAGGUUUUUGACAUCGCAGUGUUAAAUUGUCUCCAGUGAUAUCAUACUCCAUAACCCUAACCAAGUGCGAGUGUCUGUGAAGAAGCCAGCUGGAAUGGUUUGGGGAAUGGCAUGUUCCUGGUUGCCUUUGGGCUUCUGUGGCAAAGAACUCAUCCAGUGUGCUGCUGGCAUAAGUGAUCAAGUCAAAUAUAACCUCUGCCUGAUUUCCACAGUCCAGAGAGGAAUGUAGGACCAGUGUGGUCACAAGAGACCAGUUUAACAUGUCAGACUGUACGAGGUUAAGGAGUAUGUGUCUCAAAAGAGUGAUUCCAAAAUCUAAUCAUGCAAUUUUAUGCAUUUUUUUUUGUCUUUGUUCUUUAUUUGCUCUGUAAGUGAAGGGUUGGAACCUCUUAAGUGUCAUUAUGUUGUUUGUGUAUUAAUGCCACAUGACAUUAUGGAAAAAGUCUAAUAAAAUGUUGAAGUUU
ensembl:lncRNA